UCCUUCCGGUCUAAACAGUGAACGCCUCCGCAUCGACUCACGGGUUCACCUCCUUCCGGUCUGAACAGUGAACUCCUCCGCAUGGACUCACGGGUUCACCUCCUUCCGGUCUGAACAGUGAACGCCUCCGCAUCGACUCACGGGUUCACCUCCUUCCGGUCUGAACAGUGAACUCCUCCGCAUGGACUCACGGGUUCACCUCCUUCCGGUCUGAACAGUGAACUCCUCCGCAUCGACUCACGGGUUCACCUCCUUCCGGUCUGAACAGUGAACUCCUCCGCAUGGACUCACGGGUUCACCUCCUUCCGGUCUGAACAGUGAACUCCGCAUCGACUCACGCGUUCACCUCCUUCCGGUCUAAAUGGUAAACUCCUCUGCAUUUUCUGUUCGGUUCUAUUUUGGUGGGGCCCACGCGUCAUCACAGAGUAUCUGGGAGCCCUGCCCUCUUGCAGAUGGGAAUGAAGGCCCAGGUGCUCUGGAGAGGUGACUCUCCUCUAGAAAGGAAACACUGGUUCUGUAAACCUGUUUGAGAAGAAAAGCUCGAGGUUUCUUGGCCUCUCUGCUUCUGGAGCCAGGGGAAAAAAUAGCCCCAGGCUGAAGACAGGAGGGACCAGAUUGCUGCUUGGUGAUGCGAUCUCACUGCAGAGGCAGCCAGGAGACCCUCCUGAGACGAAUCGGAGAGUCCAUGCUGCUUUUACACACAUCCUAGUUCUUUUAUAACUAGCCUUUUCCUAUUAACGGACAUCAUUCAAAAGCCAGUUUUAAGCAACAUAAAUAUUGAAAACAAUACUAUACUAUUUAGAAUUAAUUAUAAGUUUUGUUUUUAAAGCCUAAAUCUUUUAUUGUUGUUUGAACCCUGGGCACUGAAGCUAAUAAUGUAACUUUUCUCCCUUCUUUCUUCUUUGGCAUAGAUUUAAAGAACUGUUAGACUCAUUUAAAAUGCUAUUAGGCAUUUUAAAGAGUAAUUGUUAAAUGUGUUGUCUCUUGUGGGACUGGAAAUGUUCUGUUCUUAUCUGGCGCUGGUUACAUCCUGUUUUUCAUUUGGGAAAGUGCAUUGAGCUGGAAAUUUAUAUGUUCAAUUUCUGUAUGUAAAUUGUACUUCAGUAAAAAUUUUCAAAAAAGUGGCUGCCUUUUAUAGC
rnacentral:lncRNA from 1 species